GGAAGUAAAAGUCGUAACAAGAUCUCCGUUGGUGUACCAGCGGAGGGAUCAUUACCGAGUGCAAACUCAUAACCCUUUGUGAACCUAUAUCUGUUGCUUCGGCGGCUCGCUCUCGGGCGAGCCCGCCGGUAAUAUCAGUAUCUCUGUUUGAACCCGACGAUACUUCUGAGUGUUCUUAGCGAACAGUUAAAACUUUUAACAACGGAUCUCUUGGCUCUA
rnacentral:misc_RNA from 1 species